rnacentral:rRNA from 1 species
CCCCUAGAUGUUCUGGGCCGCACGCGCGCUACACUGAACAGUUCAACAAGUCUUAACCUUGGCCGAUAGGUCUGGGUAAUCUUUGAACGCUGUUCGUGAUUGGGAUAGACCUUUGCAAUUAUGGGUCUUCAACGAGGAAUUCCUAGUAAACGCAAGUCAUCAGCUUGCAUUGAUUACGUCCCUGCCCUUUGUACACACCGCCCGUCGCACCUACCGAUUGAAUGGUCCGGUGAAAUCUCGGGACGGCGGCUUGGUCGCUUGCGUCCGACUGCUGAAACUUGAUUAAACCAUAUCAUUUAGAGGAAGUAAAANUCGUAACA